UACGUAGAAGACUAGUGUUAUUCAUCUUUAGUAGGUUUAAAGGGUACCUAGACGGUAAAAUUAGUCCAAAACAGGAUACGGUUUUACUAGAGUUAUAUAUGAGGAGGUGAGUAUUUAUGGAGUAGAGUUGAAAUUCUUUGAUACCUUUAACGACUGGUAACGGCGAAAAGCAACCUUUUAUCUAAUAACUGACGUUGAGGGACGAAGGCUUGGGUAACGAACAGG
rnacentral:rRNA from 1 species